GCAGGGAUAGCUCAGUCGGUAGAGCAUGAGACUCUUAAUCUCUUAAUCUCAGUUGUGGCUUAUAGCCCCACAUUGGGCA